rnacentral:tRNA from 1 species
GCCGACUUAGCUCAGUGGUAGAGCAUCUCAUUCGUAAUGAGAGGGUCGUCGGUUCAAUCCCGACAGUCGGCUCCA